rnacentral:sRNA from 1 species
GCACAAGCAGGGAUGGCGUCGCUUCAGCGUUCUCGGGUGCUACGCUGCUGCAGCUGCCGCCUCUUCCAGGCGCACCAGGUAAAAAAGAGUGUCAAGUGGACAUGCAAAGCUUGUGGAGAGAAGCAGUCCUUUUUGCGGGCUUAUGGUGAAGGCUCUGGUGCUGACUGUAGACGCCAUGUCCAAAAGUUAAAUCUACUACAGGGACAAGUUUCAGAGCUGCCACUCAGGUACAGUUGUUUGAGAAGAGCGUGGUUGUCUUGCCCUGUUUUCGUCUUGACUGGAUAAUAGAAGUACACAGUGGAAAUCCUGGGCCGGGCACUCUGCUGUGGCUGGACCUGCCCCAGGUCCCUGCUGUCGCUUUGCCAUCUGAGGUCAGCAGCUGCCCUCAGAACCGACCCCGGGGAUGUUUAGAAUACUGGGGCUGAGCUUCACCCGAGGAGAUUCUCACCUGAUUGCCUGUGAUGAGGUCCAGACCUGUGGUUUUUAAAGCUGGCAGGCCAUUGCUCUGUGCCUCUAGAGCUGAAGGCUCUUGACACAGCUGUUCUCGUUUGUGGCUGGCUCACCAGAGAGGCCCUGGUAGGACAGACCCCACUGGGCCUGGGCCUGGGUCAGUGGAGAAGUCCCUUAGACUUCCACGUCUUACAUUAUGGCAGUCAAACACCCUGAGCAAUUCUCCCACUGAAAAUAACUAAAAAUGCUAGCUAUUUUAAAUGCACUGAUGAGCUGACAAGAAAGUAACUCUCGGCCAGGCGCAGUGGCUCAUGCUUGUAGUUCCAGCACUUUAGGAGGCCAAGGCGGGCAGAUCACGAGGUCAGGAGUUCGAGACCAGCCUGGCCAGCAUGGUGAAACCCCGU